rnacentral:lncRNA from 1 species
GUAGAAAAUGGUGGAUUGAACCUGGUUUUAUAGCUAGCUAAACCUCUCACUUGUAUGACAGUCGAAUCAAAUUCCAUUACAUUGUCAACGAUGCGUGAACAAAACAAACAUACUCAAAGAGUAAAAAUGUCAAAAAUAGGGGUACAGCAGUCAACAUUGUGUUAUCAUCUUAAUCACUAUAAAAACAACAAAUGUAACGAAGAAGCAAAAAAAAGCAUACAUCAAAUUUAACAUCCUCAUUUUGCUUAUCUUAUACGGUUUUAUUUAUCUAUGUAAAGUCUACCCGUAAAGGAUGGAAGGUUUUCAGUACUGGUGUAAAAUUGCGCGUUUGAAAUUCGCACAGGUAGAC